GGGUGGAGUGAUGAAGUCUUUUGGCUGCCGUGCCGUUGUGUCAUCAGAUGGAGAGACUGAGUCGUCCCACCAAGGUGGCGAUGCCCGGCUGCGCAGAAGUCUCCUACUCGCCAUCAGAUUAUGAUGAUUUGAUGUAUCUGCUGGGCAGCCAAACACGGCGGUUACAUAUCGAAAGCCAGGAUUAGUUGCCUUUUCAUUUGGUCUCAUCCAGCCGGGCCUGGACGAUGAGGCUGGAGCGUGGACGGCGGGCUUCUCUGGCGCUCACGCUCAACUUUGUGGCGUUUGCUUUUGCCUUAUCAGCGGUGACCACCAGCUACUGGUGCGAGGGGACGAGGAAAGUGGCCAAACCCUUCUGCACGGGGCCGCCGUUGAAGGUCAAGCAGUGGUUCUGCAUCCGCUUCAACAGCUCCAACGUCAACGACACCAGGCUGGUCCAGUACAUUUUUGAGACCGGCGAGGAGAAGUUCCUUCUCAGGAAGUUCCACACGGGUAUCUUCUUCUCCUGUGAGCAAGCGGCUGACAUGAACGGGUUCGACUGCCGGGACUUCUCCGAAAUAGCCCCGGAGCACGAGAGAGGCGUCCUCUGGUUGUGUAUCGUGGCAGAGACGCUGUACCUCUCCCUUCUCUUCAUGGGUGGUGCCCUGAUGACGCUGGAGCAAUGUCCCUGCUUCAGCAUCAUGAACAAGCUGAAGCUCAGUGCCUUCGCCGCCUUGUGCACAGCUUUGUCAGGUCUCUGUGGGAUGGUGGCUCACAUGAUGUUCACCACCAUCUUUCAACUGGCUGUGGCCAUGGGACCGGAGGACUGGAGACCCAAGACCUGGGACUACAGCUGGUCCUACGCGCUUGCAUGGAGCUCAUUCGGCACCUGCAUGGCCUCCGCUGUGACAGCACUGAACCGCUACACCAAGACGAUCAUCGAGUUCAAAUACAAGCGGCGGAACAUCGAGAAGAGCCUGCUGGUCAAGCAGAAGAUGGUGGACCUGGAUCUGCCCGAGCAGAUGUGGGACCUGUAUCUGACUGCAGAGGCACCACUGGAGCCGCCUGCCAAUGGACACAAGCCGACGUCAGGGAUUACGUACGUGGUGGAGGUGGACGACCCGCCUGACCCACAGGGAGAGGCGUACUGCUGAAACCCGACGCCCUCCGGUGGCCACUCUCACAGUUUCAAACCUGAGCCUAUAAUAGUCUGGUCACAUGACCACCUGGACACACAUCCUCGGACAUCACUUGUUUCAGAAUAAGGGCUUUGUGACCAGAAGACGAUCGUAAGGGACUCACCUCUAUCAAUGCUGUUGUCUUUUAUAAUAAAUGUGUCUUACUGACCACUGCCAAACUCACACGCAUCAGACGGUGCAUCACUUCUUUACCUGCCACUCUAGAGAUUCCAUCACCGUCUUCAGAGGUUUUACUGCGGGCUGGAAACGUGCUGGUCUCAGUCCGAUCAGGAUGUGUUGGGCUCUGUACUGCUGCGCCCUCUGCUGUCAAGGAUCUCAGUGUUUGAAACAUGCAGGUAUAAUUGCAUUUCUUUUAUUAAAAUUAAGCAAAACCAUCAACGCCGCUACAUAGUCAAAUGUAUAUGACGUAUUCAUAAUGUCCUCUAAAACAAGGUCUAAACUCAGGCCUGUCAUCUCCGGGUCGGUACUCCAGGAGUCAGACUUGAUCUGAUCCGUCUUUGAUCACAAGUUUGUGUUUACAUUUCAGUCUCGAUUAUAACCCGUCAAACCUGGGAUUUAGACCAUUUUUUUUCUGUGAAAUUCAAGUGUUCAGAAGGAGGUAGGUUUCUGUGGUGACAUUCGACUCAGUCGUUCAGCAGCAGAUCCUGGUACUUGUUCUGUGGGUGUUCAUCAAUGAACUUCUGUAUGUACCAACAGGACACGUUAGCCUUCAGGUCCUCUUCCGCCAGGAAGUCCAUGGCAGCCUGGAACACCGAGAGGGAGCCGCAAUGAGACCGCGGUCCUCGCGUGAAAGUCUACCCGCGCCGAAGAGCUCGAACUCGGCUGUCCUGCUCACCUGCCCCGCUGCCAGGAGAGACCGUGAAGCGGCGAUUCAGUCGGUCGUGUUCCACCCUCAAGCUACUACAGCUCCGUGAAGUGAAUGAAGCAGGAGAAAGCGUUGUCCUUAAGGUGCACCCAGACAGCCGGAAAGGUAUUUUCAACGCCAUUUCGAUGGGAAGCACAGCAAGCAUGGGUCAUCUGCUUCUCUGUACUGACCACAAGAGGGUGCCAAACACGCCAGGAACGCUCGUGCGCACAGUGAUAAGUUUUUAAUUAUUAACUCAUUUCAAAUAUCUUAAAAGACCAAACUCUUUCUCCAUUUCUGGUCACGCUUUCAUGCCCUCUUUAAAAUCCAUCGGUUGUGCUCCUCCUCUGUCUCAAAUGUCACGAUGCCACUGAGACGUUGGCGUGAUUCACUCCGGCGGCCAUCAAGGCGAAGAAGAGGUUGGGGAAGAAGGAGCGAGCGUAGACGGCCACUUUAGGAAGCGUCGGUGCGAUCACCACUUCCUUUCUCUUGUUGCCUAAAGUCUUGGCGAUCUCAGCGGCUGCUUCGCCAGGAGACACGCCGUGAGGCCUCAUGAUGAAGAACCCUGAGAACACAGACAGGAGUGGAGCACAGUCAAACUCUUCCUCAUUUGAAAUGGCCACUGAGCUUUCCUUACAGGACCAGAAGGAUUUGCGGGUGGAGGCCUCGGUCGCGUCUGACGCGCUGAUGAACGUGUGGUUGAUGGUGCUGACAGAGAUGCCAAACUCCUCCACCUCAGCCCUCAGACAGUCGAAGAAAGCCUGGACGGCGUGUUUGGAUGCGGCGUCUGGAACAGAAGUCGGAAGAAUUUCUCAGGCAUAUAGAGCCCUCACAUUUGGGACACCUGCACUCACAUGCGGAGCGGAACGGCACGGCCAGUUUUCCUUGAAUGCUGUUGACCAGGAUCAGGUGACCGGUUCUCCUGGACAUCAUGGACGGCAGCACUCCUGAAACACAGAGCCAAACAGGACGUUACGAAGCUUUAGCUUGACCGGGCUUCUCGGGCUUCACCUUUGACCAGAGUGGCCGGUCCAAAGUAGUUGUUGUCCAUAAGCAGCUUGUCCAUCUCCAGCGACAGAUUCUGGGCAGGAGCUUUGACCUUCAGACUGUUGUUGAGGAUGAUCACGUCCAGACAGCCGUAACAGUCUAGCACAUCUACGAUGGCCUCGGGCAAACUCAGCAUAUCGCUGAAAUCCAGCAGCACCAGCUUUGGCGGGAAGGUCUGAGGGCCAUGGAGGGAUGAAGGAAGCGAUCCAUGACGAGACGCCAACUCCCCCCGACAGACUCACCACGCUGGGAUCCGAAGAACCUGUCAAGUCCUCAGCCAGUUCCUCCAGUUUGUCCCAGCUCUUGCCACAGAGAAUCAACCUGGCGCCUCCUUUGUGAAAGACACUUGCACAUACUGGAGCGGAGGAGAAGAAAAACCAUCGCAUCACGGAGCAGCACUCAUCUUCAACACUCCUCUCACCUUUCCCCAGCUUGGACGUGGCGUCAGACAGAACCACCACCUUGUUGCGAACACAUGUUUUGGACAAGAAGCCAGUGACAAGGCCGUAGAUGUAGAAGAAGCCGGCCGUCAACACAACCACACAGGGCACCAGCAGGACGGUGGUGGUCCAGGUCGGGUCCAUCUCCUGCAGUUUUUCCUGAACACAUGUUGCUUGUUAACUUCCUGCUCAAUGACUUUCUUUGGUGUGUCCAGGUGAAUCAGGCGGUGAUGAGGCUGAUGCCAGAGGCAAAGAUGAGUGUCUUAGUUGUCUGAGGGAUGACUGGGGUUAGGCGAGUUUUGAACUGGUUCAGUAUGUUUACACAGCCAAACAUACUUUUGGAAAUGGAUUUAUGGAUGAUGAGGAACCGAUGGUUUCAUACCCACAGGCUCUCUGGCACCGUUACAUUGGCCUCCAUCUCUACACUCAUGUUAACAUCGAAUAUAACACGUCUGCAACACAAACACAAGACACAAGUCAGAUGAAUCUGACGGAGCCGAAUCCUCACAGAGGCGUGUCCUUCGUUUGCAGACACAAAGAGGUAAAGCCCGUUGGUCACAUAGGAGUCAGUGAAAUGAAAUGGUUUUAGUCAUGUACGUUUGCAUUUGAAAUCUUAUUCAUUCCACUGUCAAACUGUAUACGUUUUUAUUGAAUAACUUGUCUCACUUAAAUUAAUAUUCAAUCAUUUUACCUUCCAGUCUCCAAUAAUUCAUGAGGUAUAUUUUCCUACACAAUGGCUUCACAUUUCAUUGUUCCUGUUCGCGUCGUCCACACUUCAUUCUCGCACAUUAUUCCAUGCCAACGCACCCACUGGUAUCAACUGUUGAUCCUCAGGUCUUCUAAAUAUAAACCGAUCCAGUUUCUCCUGCAGGAGCUCAAUGUCACACGUUGGUCCCAGAACCUUCACACAGAACCGUCCGCCUCGGCCCCAGAUUAUAGAUGACGCAGUGGAAGUGAACCCCAAACCUCCCCUGAAUACCAUGGCUCCAGACUCACCCAGCUCGCGUCUCCUCUGCUGCUCGCCCCAGGACCCUCACACACACAGCCGGCCCAGGCCGCCGCAGCAAUUCCUCAGGAUUUGUGCUCUUUUUAUAGCUGCGCAGCUGAGUCACAAGUGUGUUGUGGUCGAGUGAGGAGCGACAGGUGGAGAAUGUUCUCACCAGCUGCUGGAGACCCCAGGCUCGUCACAUGAAGGACGAGUGUCCCUCGGAUCGACAGUCAUGCUGGACAUUUCAAUCUCAAGAGAUCGUUUGAAAAUUGUGUCCACUAACGUCUCUGCUCUGCUUCCAAACGAUUUCAGUGAUAACGGUGUUUAGAAGCCAAAGAAAAACGCUUGAAUCGAUUAACAUCGUCCUUGCGUCGGUGAAAUGACACCAGAGUCUUUUAUUUUGAAGGCUGGAGCGUCGUCGUCAAUGGGUCAGUUGGCGGUUCUGCUCGUUCUGUCGCUGCAUCAGCACCAUCCACCGGAUCUUUCCACUGCGCUGUCACCUGAGAAUAUUCGAAAAGCAGUUGAGCGACA